rnacentral:misc_RNA from 1 species
GAAACAACAAUCAACUUCCCACACAGGCGCACGGGGCUCUUGCGUUUUCAACCCAGCUCCUCCACGCCUUUUUCUCCUCUUUCGCCCGAGUAUGCAGGGGAGGGGAGGAGGGAGGCUGGUAGCAGUUCCAUUGCACUUAUUCAAGUGACCGGCCGGCGCAUGAGGAUGCCGUUGCCGUGCGACAGAAUCUUUUUGACAACCACUUGUAUACAGAUACACAGGCAGAUACACUUAGGAGGUCAAACCCCCUUGACACAGAGACCCACAAAGACACAUACACGUUGAGCAACCACCACCAGAACGUGUACGGUGCCCCCCCCCCCCCCCCCCCCCAUCAUCCAUGUCCUUUCUUCGUCCAACCAUGUCAAGCCUGCGACGCGCAGUCAACGGUGGGAAAGACGAGCAACACCUCCAUGGAGGUCCCUCUGCCACUGCGGGUGUCGCACAACCCCUCCCAGCACAGCCGAUCUUCCACAACGCUGCCACAGGCGACUACUCACACGUGUCUAGUCGUGUUGACACCGGCCUCCGCAGCCGCGUUCGAACGUCUUCGCUGUCUCGGCGCCCCGCUGUAAUCGCCAUGUCCCGCUCGCCGUCCCUGCGCGAGUUUUCGGACAAAUGCGACAGUGUCAUCCAGCGCGCGCAGGAGAUGCUCGAGCGCACACGUGAGCAGGAGUUGAAAGUGACGAAGGCACUCGAGGAGCGUAAGUCGAGAUCCCCCGCGCGCCAAGCAACGCCACCCCCGCAAAGAGAGAUGACCCCGCAACGGACGCCGGCAAACAUGCCGGCCGGCCUCGCUUCUCCCUCGUCGUCCCCAGCAACGCUGAACGCACCCUACACUACGCCGGUGACACCACCAAGAGCGUCGUCGACCCUCACCACCACAUCGCCCUCUCUCCCGCCGCUUCCGGCACCUCCGCCAACUCCGGCAGGCCUCCCGCACAGCCCGCCGCCCACGCAGCCAGCCACUGACAAGAGCCCCAGCGAUCCCGUCGGCCGCUUCUCGCCUCCCUCGCUAUUUCAGCGCCUUCGGCAAUCCUGGCAGCGUGGAUCCGGCCUGGCAUGGGAGGCCCACGCAACGUCGCCUACGCCGUCGUCGCCCGACGGGGCGCUGUCCGUCGGCAUCGCACGCAUGAGCCCGCGCAAGUCAGUGCGCUUCGCCAGUCCCGACAAGCUGGAGACGGUCACACCGACAAAGGUGGUCGCGUUAUCGAGCGAUGACGAUGACGACGACGAAGACGAAGAAGACGAGGAAACAAGCGAGGAUGAGGAAGAAGAAGAGCAGGAGCAGCUGCCGCCCACCAAGAAGACGCGCGCUGAGUCGAGCGGCUGCCGCCACACGCCUCACCGCGAUUCCGUAGUAGUGCCGCCAGCUCCACCUCCGUCCGCCGUAAAGUCCGGCAGCCGUAGCCGCAGCGGGAGCAGCACAUCUUUGCCCUCCUCCAGGUCCCCCCCGCCGUCGCGCGGCACUGCGUCUCCGCCGUCCUCGCAUAGGGAGGGCACCCGAUCGCCAUCCUCCACGCACACAACCUCGCCUCGCCAGUGUAGCGGCAUCAGUGGCGAUGGUAGCAGAAGUGGUCGCAGCUCCACCUCCUCGAGUCGCCCGCCGAUGGAUCAUGACGAGGUCAAGGAGUACGUCAUACAUCACACCAUCCGCCGCUCGCUCUCGCGUAUCUCGAGGGCCAACAUGGAAGACUAUCUCAGAGAGGAGGGCGUGGCGCUGCCCGCCGAGGGACAUUGGCUGAAGCGACAACUCCUUGCACACAUCCGUGCCCUCAUCAAGCAGGAGCUGGCGCCGCACUGACAACAGAGCUAGAGUGGCUGGGAAGAGGGGAGAGGAGGCACCAGGCAAUGUCGGAUGCGGUGAACUUGUACGCACGCACGCGCAUUAUGUGCUGUCGAGCCAUCCGCUACAGAGCGGUCCUAUCGGGCUUCGCCUCCCUCUCUCUCUCUUGACUCCGACGGUGACGAUAGAGCGAGUGUGCACACCGCGGAGCGGCCUACCGUAGACUACAGUGUGAUGUUUUUUCCGUUUUUUUUCUGCAUAAUAGCACCUUUAGAUGCAUCUGAAGCGUUGGCGUGGAUGCUCGUUGUCUCUCUCUCUCUCUCCCUGUCUUUCCCGCCCCCUUCGCUUUUCUCUGUUUUGCUUGCGCGCCCUUUUUCUUCCUCCUCUAGGGCUUCUGCGUGUGGCUCUCUUGCCGCGCGGAGAGGGCAUGUGUGCCCUGCGAAUGCGAAUGCGAACGCGCGCCUUCUUCUCCGCGGCUCGGCAGCCCAAGUAGAUAGUAUACGCACAGGCAAACGUCGACGCCGGCGGAGAGCGAUGGCAGAGUGCUGUGUGCACGCUCCUCUACAGACACCUGCGUCUUCCCUGACUGACAGCUUGCGUGCCUGCUCAGAGGGGUGGUAUGAGGCUGCACGCUUGUAGGUGUGUACUCGGAGUUUUCGCUUCUGGUGCUCUCACACGCCCGAUCUCUGUCUUGGUCCUCUCUCUCCCUUCCCGCUGCGUAUUCCACCCACUGAACGUCUCUUUCUUUCUCUUCGGUUUUGCUUGCGCGCUGCGCGCAUCGGAGCACCCGGGGCGGGGACGGCGAUAGUGAAAAGAAGGCCGACGGGUGAAGUGGUUGAGGGAAUUGGGAUGAGGAUGGGGAUGUGAGGAGAGGAAUGAGCUACCCUGGGACGAGCAACGCAACAGCUGCGACGCGCUUCUCCAACGCACCACUGGAUGAUCCGUGCAUGCCAUACAGAACAAUCAUCGACAGUGCAAAUGCGCUUCGGCGUGGGACUUGCAGCCGCCGUUUCACCUGUGAAGCGGGUAUCCCUUUUAUCGGAUACGCACAUGGCAAGGCUGUACAGGACCGGCCUGCGCUUGUAUGUUUGCUCUCUCUGUAUUUUCUCCUCGAGGUCGCGGGUCCGAUGGUCGUGUACAUUUGUGGUGGCGAGCCCAUUCUCCACCACCGCCACGCUACGGGCAACUGUGAUUGGCCUCACUUGUGCCAGCGAGAAAGAGAGAGGAGCACCUUUGAUGUCCAUGCCACUCUCUUGCAAUUCAGCAGCAUGUCCACCAGCUUCGUGCGCCGCAUCCCCUUGUCCCCUCUCUGUGCGCUCACGUACGUCUCGCCUCUUCUCUUUUGUUUGUUCUUGGAUUCUCAUCGAAUCGCUGUGGCACACAUGAGCGAACGUGACCACGUUCUCUUCCAUGGACGUCGUUUCUUCCUGACUUUCACGGACGGACUUGCACGACAAG